CCAGACUCCUACGGGAGGCAGCAGUGAGGAAUAUUGGUCAAUGGUCGGGAGACUGAACCAGCCAAGCCGCGUGAGGGAUGAAGGUACAGAGUAUCGUAAACCUCUUUUGUCAGGGAACAAAGGCGGGGACGUGUCCCCGGAUGAGUGUACCUGAAGAAAAAGCAUCGGCUAACUCCGUGCCAGCAGCCGCGGUAAUACGGAGGAUGCGAGCGUUAUCCGGAUUUAUUGGGUUUAAAGGGUGCGUAGGCGGGGUGUGAAGUCGGGGUUAAAAGCCCGGGGCCCCACCCCGGCGAGCCGUUGAAACUGGCUGUCUUGAGAUGUCGAGAGGUAUGCGGAAUGCGCAGUGUAGCGGUGAAAUGCUUAGAUAUUGCGCAGAACUCCGAUUGCGAAGGCAGCAUACCGGCGGCGAUCUGACGCUGAGGCACGAAAACGUGGGUAUCGAACAGGAUUAGAUACCCUUGUACAA
rnacentral:rRNA from 1 species